rnacentral:rRNA from 1 species
GAUGAACGCUGGCGGCGUGCCUAAUACAUGCAAGUCGAGCGAACAGAUGAGGAGCUUGCUCCUCUGACGUUAGCGGCGGACGGGUGAGUAACACGUGGAUAACCUACCUAUAAGACUGGGAUAACUUCGGGAAACCGGAGCUAAUACCGGAUAAUAUAUUGAACCGCAUGGUUCAAUAGUGAAAGACGGUUUUGCUGUCACUUAUAGAUGGAUCCGCGCCGCAUUAGCUAGUUGGUAAGGUAACGGCUUACCAAGGCAACGAUGCGUAGCCGACCUGAGAGGGUGAUCGGCCACACUGGAACUGAGACACGGUCCAGACUCCUACGGGAGGCAGCAGUAGGGAAUCUCCCGCAAUGGGCGAAAGCCUGACGGAGCAACGCCGCGUGAGUGAUGAAGGUCUUCGGAUCGUAAAACUCUGUUAUUAGGGAAGAACAAAUGUGUAAGUAACUAUGCAUGUCUUGACGGUACCUAAUCAGAAAGCCACGGCUAACUACGUG